AGUAGGCCCCGAAGGGGGAUCUCUCUAACACUCUGGCCCCCAUUACAACUUUGUAAUAUAUAGGUCUCUGAUACACAGCCCAAAUUGGCUCUUCUCACCUUAAUUGCUGUGGCUGGCUGGCUGACAGGCCUCUUACUUCACCCAGUCCCUUAGUGUAUCUUUUUUUCCUCCACCCUCUGUGUGUCUUCCCACCACCCCUUCAGUGCGUUUUUUUUUCUUUCUUUUCUUUUUUUUCUCAGCCCCUCUGUAUGUCUCUUUGUGUCCCCUUGACCUUCUGUGUG